CCCCGCCCUGCAAUCCGGCCCGAGUCCCCGGAUACCAGGUCUUCCCCGCCGGUACAAGCCCCGGUACCGAGCUCGCUGGUACUGAGCACCCCUACCCUGACUCCCAUGGGUACGAGGCGAGGCCCUGGACGGAGAGCCCAGUACUGGGUCUCGGGUACUGAGCACCCCCAACCCCCGUCCUGAGUCCCCAGCUCCGAGCUACCUCCAUUGUAUUUAUCCAGUGAACUGACGGUUUCUGGAGGACUGGCCCCAAGCACGUUUUCAUUUGUGUGCAUUCCGAUCUUUGGUUCCCAAGAGAAGCUGGCUGAACCACUCCUGGCCUCCAGAGGAAGGAGAAGGGGUCUGAAGCAAGUUGCCUCCAGAGGCUUGUAGAUGCUGGCCCUGGCUCCUGAGUACAUUCUGCCUGCAGACAGAAGCAGCCCGAUUUGGACACAGGGAUGAACACCUGGCUGAAAACCACAACCACAUUGGGAAAGGGAAACCAUUCAUUCAUAAAUUGACAAAAAAGGAAAUAUCAAGACAGCUUCAUUAAAGAUCUGUUAAAACUUAAUUUACUAGAUAGCUAUUGCUACUUUGUAAAAAAAUUAAAUAUGAAGAAUUAAAUGAAAAUUGUUCAGUAACCUUUGCUCCAUUAUUCCUUCAUUUUACGCCUGCAGAUAAAUGUCCUAACAGAUCCUCUCAUCAUGUGUACUAAAGAUAUAAAUGUUCAACACCACCCCCU
rnacentral:lncRNA from 1 species